rnacentral:rRNA from 1 species
GUUUCAGCCGCCGCGGCAAUACGUAGGGUGCGAGCGUUAUCCGGAAUUAUUGGGCGUAAAGAGCUCGUAGGCGGCUNGUCGCGUCUGUCGUGAAAGUCCGGGGCUUAACCCCGGAUCUGCGGUGGGUACGGGCAGACUAGAGUGCAGUAGGGGAGACUGGAAUUCCUGGUGUAGCGGUGGAAUGCGCAGAUAUCAGGAGGAACACCGAUGGCGAAGGCAGGUCUCUGGGCUGUAACUGACGCUGAGGAGCGAAAGCAUGGGGAGCGAACAGGAUUAGAUACCCUGGUAGUCCAUGCCGUAAACGUUGGGCACUAGGUGUGGGGACCAUUCCACGGUUUCCGCGCCGCAGCUAACGCAUUAAGUGCCCCGCCUGGGGAGUACGGCCGCAAGGCUAAAACUCAAAGGAAUUGACGGGGGCCCGCACAAGCGGCGGAGCAUGCGGAUUAAUUCGAUGCAACGCGAAGAACCUUACCAAGGCUUGACAUGUUCUCGAUCGCCGUAGAGAUACGGUUUCCCCUUUGGGGUGGGUUCACAGGUGGUGCAUGGUUGUCGUCAGCUCGUGUCGUGAGAUGUUGGGUUAAGUCCCGCAACGAGCGCAACCCUCGUUCCAUGUUGCCAGCACGUCGUGGUGGGGACUCAUGGGAGACUGCCGGGGUCAACUCGGAGGAAGGUGAGGACGACGUCAAAUCAUCAUGCCCCUUAUGUCUUGGGCUUCACGCAUGCUACAAUGGCCGGUACAAUGGGUUGCGAUACUGUGAGGUGGAGCUAAUCCCAAAAAGCCGGUCUCAGUUCGGAUUGGGGUUUGCAACUCGACCCCAUGAAGUCGGAGUCGCUAGUAAUCGCAGAUCAGCAACGUUGCGGUGAAUACGUUCCCGGGCCUUGUACACACCGCCCGUCAAAC